rnacentral:rRNA from 1 species
CGGACGGGUUAGUAACGCGUGGGAACGUGCCCUUCACUACGGAAUAGUCCUGGGAAACUGGGUUUAAUGCCGUAUACGCCCUUCGGGGGAAAGAAUUUCGGUGAAGGAUCGGCCCGCGUUAGAUUAGGUAGUUGGUGGGGUAAUGGCCUACCAAGCCUACGAUCUAUAGCUGGUUUUAGAGGAUGAUCAGCAACACUGGGACUGAGACACGGCCCAGACUCCUACGGGAGGCAGCAGUGGGGAAUCUUGGACAAUGGGCGCAAGCCUGAUCCAGCCAUGCCGCGUGAGUGAUGAAGGCCUUAGGGUCGUAAAGCUCUUUCGCCAGGGAUGAUAAUGACAGUACCUGGUAAAGAAACCCCGGCUAACUCCGUGCCAGCAGCCGCGGUAAUACGGAGGGGGUUAGCGUUGUUCGGAAUUACUGGGCGUAAAGCGCGCGUAGGCGGACCAGAAAGUUGGGGGUGAAAUCCCGGGGCUCAACCCCGGAACGGCCUCCAAAACUCCUGGUCUUGAGUUCGAGAGAGGUGAGUGGAAUUCCGAGUGUAGAGGUGAAAUUCGUAGAUAUUCGGAGGAACACCAGUGGCGAAGGCGGCUCACUGGCUCGAUACUGACGCUGAGGUGCGAAAGUGUGGGGAGCAAACAGGAUUAGAUACCCUGGUAGUCCACACCGUAAACGAUGUCUACUAGCUGUUCGCGGCCUUGUGUUGUGAGUAGCGCAGCUAACGCAUUAAGUAGACCGCCUGGGGAGUACGGUCGCAAGAUUAAAACUCAAAUGAAUUGACGGGGGCCCGCACAAGCGGUGGA